rnacentral:rRNA from 1 species
UAGCGGCGGACGGGUGAGUAACACGUGGGUAACCUACCUAUAAGACUGGAAUAACUUCGGGAAACCGGAGCUAAUGCCGGAUAACAUAUAGAACCGCAUGGUUCUAUAGUGAAAGAUGGUUUUGCUAUCACUUAUAGAUGGACCCGCGCCGUAUUAGCUAGUUGGUAAGGUAAUGGCUUACCAAGGCGACGAUACGUAGCCGACCUGAGAGGGUGAUCGGCCACACUGGAACUGAGACACGGUCCAGACUCCUACGGGAGGCAGCAGUAGGGAAUCUUCCGCAAUGGGCGAAAGCCUGACGGAGCAACGCCGCGUGAGUGAUGAAGGUUUUCGGAUCGUAAAACUCUGUUAUUAGGGAAGAACAAAUGCGUAAGUAACUGUGCGCAUCUUGACGGUACCUAAUCAGAAAGCCACGGCUAACUACGUGCCAGCAGCCGCGGUAAUACGUAGGUGGCAAGCGUUAUCCGGAAUUAUUGGGCGUAAAGCGCGCGUAGGCGGUUUCUUAAGUCUGAUGUGAAAGCCCACGGCUCAACCGUGGAGGGUCAUUGGAAACUGGGAAACUUGAGUGCAGAAGAGGAAAGUGGAAUUCCAUGUGUAGCGGUGAAAUGCGCAGAGAUAUGGAGGAACACCAGUGGCGAA